AUGCAGAGUUCUUUCUGCACUCAUACCCUCCGACAAUCUUAUCAUCCUCAAUGGGGGCAGCGACUGAGUGGGAUGUAAAGGAUAAAUCUUUGUAAAGAAAAAGGUAAAAUGUACCAAACUUUUCAAACGGUGUAUAGUUAUAGCUUAUAGUAUAGUUAUAUAUGUAUAGUUAUAGCUUAAUCCAGUUUAUUUUCAUGCCGUCGCCAAGAUUUUGGCCCACUUAUUCUUUCCUGUUGAAGAAACCGGUACUCACAUGCCACAGCAAACAGAGCGAGAAGAAUAAUGACCUUCAUGGUUGUCUGUUUUUGCCUCGGCACUGAGGGCAUACAUGUAUACAUUUCCAUCGGUACCUGUCAAACAGUAACGUGGGAACAGACAUAUGGCUAACGAGGCUCCUCAACUGAGGAUGUCUGCUAAACAGCAUUACCUUACAUCCCUAUGUAACUUCCUAGAAUGUUUAACUGAAUAGACAUUUUCCCUUUUUUUGACUCCUCAUUGAAGCAAUAUAGAAAUGUAUAUUCAUACAGUGCUUGGUUUUGUGUUACAUACUUUCUCCAAAAUAGAUUCACUAUGAGGCCACAAGGGGGAGUUUCAUGACCUAGCAUUUGAAGUAAGCCUGGCAUUUUGCAACUGGUUUCGAGUAUUGUGUGUCUAAGGGUUCCUCGGCUUCAUUUAUCAAUAUAGCCUGUUUCUUUGAUAUAAAAAACAGUAUAACAACAUGGAUUGUAUAACAACAUUAAUCAUAUGAUCCUGAUAUCUAAUUGUUGUAAUGUAAUAUAUUUUUGUUCCUUUAUUGGUUUAUUCACCUCAGAAAUACCUAUAGAUGCGGUACAGUAUCAUAGAUGCUGUUACAAAUACAGCAGAAUGUCACUCAACAUUUGUACAUUUUCAGAAUGUAUUUGAUUGGAUAUAAAUUCAUGAAAGGCUUUUCUUUUUCAAUAUUCAGGGACAGGAAAUUAUUUUUAGAUUGUGACUAUAAUUAAUAUAAAUUAAAUAGAAUAAUGUAAUGCUCUAUUAUGCAUUAGUACUUUUUCUUUGCAUCAUUACAGGAAAAACAUGUCAGACAUGACAAAAAUAAACAUAACACGGUUAAUAUGUUUGGUACAAUGUGAACACAAAUAUAAUAGAUGUUUAGUCUGGACAUGAACAGUUGGUACUGUUUGCUCAGUGAGAUUAUGAUGUCAUGGGAAUUGUUUCGGUCUUGCAGAUGGUGUGUGACCUGUAGGUGUGUUUGCGAGCGUUUAUCUGAGGCAUGUACCAAGUUGAGCUACUGAUCAGGUCAUUUCUCGCCAAUCCAGUGCCACCGUUCACUACACCCGAGAUCAUUCCAGUUUUUCUCUUGGUCAUUGAAGGUGUUAACCUCUGGUCUGCUCCGCUCUUUAGACAGUUCUGUCUGCUCUCAUUUCAGGAUUCAGUCCCGUCAGAGAUGUAGUACAAACUGGAACCAAACUUCUUCCAUGCUUCAAGGCAGUCGCUGUCCUCAUUGAGGAUAACAAGAUUUUCGGAGGGUAUGAGUGCAGAAAGAACUCUGCAUCCUACCAGGCAUCACUGCAAUCCCUGAUCUCUAGCACAUGGGUGGUGUCUGCUGCUCACUGCUACAAGUCAUAUGUGACUGAUGAAACUUUCUUCAAAAACAUUGACAGUAUGUUUGACAUUAAACCUGUUUUGUACAUCUGAUUAACCCUCCCCAGCCACAUUCAGGUGUGUCUACGUGGCCACACAACAUUGUUGUCAACGAGGGCACUGAGCAGUUCGACUCAGGGAAGGUCAUCAUGCACCCCAGUUACAACAGCUGCAACCUGGACAACGACGUCAAGCUGAGCAAACCCACCUCCCUGAACAGCUACAUGUGCACUGUGGUCAUGCCCUGCAGCUGUGCCAGCUCUGGCACCUGCUGGCUGGGGCAACCUACCCAGCAGAGGCUCCUUCUACCCCGACCAACUGUUCUGCCUGGAUCUCUCCAUCCUGAGCAGCGGCAACAGCACCUACCAUGGACAGAUCACCUACACAUGUUCUGUGCUGGCUUCGUGGAUGGAGGCAAGGACUCUUGCCAGGGAGACCGUGAUGGGCAAUGGGCAGCUGCAGGAUGCUGUGUCCUGGGGUUACAGUUGUGCCCAGACUAAGAUCUGCAACUCCUGGAUAAGCAGCACCAUGUCCUCCAACUAAUUGAUUUAGACUGGAAGAGACAGAAACCCAUGAUAACUGGUAUGAGAAAAUAAAAACACCAUUCUUUAAAGUGCAUUACUAUGAGUGCAAUAUGUGCUUUUAGGAAGGUAUGAAACAGGUAUCUGGCUCGUGCUUAUUAUGUCUAACUUGUAAAGCAAGAGUUGCAGACAACAGCUCAAUCUGUUCAAUGCCAAUUGUGCACUGUUUCCUGGAAACUUAAUGAUAUGAGAAUGAACAACUGUCAGUGGAAAUAUGAUAACACAUGAACUAGCAACUGCAAUAGACAUGGGUAGAACAUGCUUUGGUUUCUCUUCAUAGGUUAAUUCAUGGAAAUUACACAAAUGUACUCUUUCAGUUGUACAGAAAACAUUUUAAAAUGUAGAAUGUUGACAAUAUUCAUACAAUGAACCUAAAUGUGAAGCAUUCCAAUUGUGUAGCUAUUUAGCUAAGACAGAUAAUGAAUAAAGGUUUGUGUUCGUUUGUC